AGAGUUUGAUCAUGGCUCAGAUUGAACGCUGGCGGCAGGCCUAACACAUGCAAGUCGAACGGUAACAGGAAGCAGCUUGCUGCUUCGCUGACGAGUGGCGGACGGGUGAGUAAUGUCUGGGAAACUGCCUGAUGGAGGGGGAUAACUACUGGAAACGGUGGCUAAUACCGCAUAACGUCGCAAGACCAAAGAGGGGGACCUUCGGGCCUCUUGCCAUCAGAUGUGCCCAGAUGGGAUUAGCUAGUUGGUGAGGUAACGGCUCACCAAGGCGACGAUCCCUAGCUGGUCUGAGAGGAUGACCAGCCACACUGGAACUGAGACACGGUCCAGACUCCUACGGGAGGCAGCAGUGGGGAAUAUUGCACAAUGGGCGCAAGCCUGAUGCAGCCAUGCCGCGUGUAUGAAGAAGGCCUUCGGGUUGUAAAGUACUUUCAGCGGGGAGGAAGGUGUUGUGGUUAAUAACCACAGCAAUUGACGUUACCCGCAGAAGAAGCACCGGCUAACUCCGUGCCAGCAGCCGCGGUAAUACGGAGGGUGCAAGCGUUAAUCGGAAUUACUGGGCGUAAAGCGCACGCAGGCGGUCUGUCAAGUCGGAUGUGAAAUCCCCGGGCUCAACCUGGGAACUGCAUUCGAAACUGGCAGGCUUGAGUCUUGUAGAGGGGGGUAGAAUUCCAGGUGUAGCGGUGAAAUGCGUAGAGAUCUGGAGGAAUACCGGUGGCGAAGGCGGCCCCCUGGACAAAGACUGACGCUCAGGUGCGAAAGCGUGGGGAGCAAACAGGAUUAGAUACCCUGGUAGUCCACGCCGUAAACGAUGUCUACUUGGAGGUUGUGCCCUUGAGGCGUGGCUUCCGGAGCUAACGCGUUAAGUAGACCGCCUGGGGAGUACGGCCGCAAGGUUAAAACUCAAAUGAAUUGACGGGGGCCCGCACAAGCGGUGGAGCAUGUGGUUUAAUUCGAUGCAACGCGAAGAACCUUACCUGGUCUUGACAUCCACAGAACUUUCCAGAGAUGGAUUGGUGCCUUCGGGAACUGUGAGACAGGUGCUGCAUGGCUGUCGUCAGCUCGUGUUGUGAAAUGUUGGGUUAAGUCCCGCAACGAGCGCAACCCUUAUCCUUUGUUGCCAGCGGUCCGGCCGGGAACUCAAAGGAGACUGCCAGUGAUAAACUGGAGGAAGGUGGGGAUGACGUCAAGUCAUCAUGGCCCUUACGACCAGGGCUACACACGUGCUACAAUGGCGCAUACAAAGAGAAGCGACCUCGCGAGAGCAAGCGGACCUCAUAAAGUGCGUCGUAGUCCGGAUUGGAGUCUGCAACUCGACUCCAUGAAGUCGGAAUCGCUAGUAAUCGUGGAUCAGAAUGCCACGGUGAAUACGUUCCCGGGCCUUGUACACACCGCCCGUCACACCAUGGGAGUGGGUUGCAAAAGAAGUAGGUAGCUUAACCUUCGGGAGGGCGCUUACCACUUUGUGAUUCAUGACUGGGGUGAAGUCGUAACAAGGUAACCGUAGGGGAACCUGCGGUUG
rnacentral:rRNA from 2 species